UGGGGGAUAUUGCACAAUGGGGGAAACCCUGAUGCAGCGACGCCGCGUGGGUGAAGAAGCGCCUCGGCGCGUAAAGCCCUGUCAGCAGGGAAGAAAUGACGGUACCUGAAGAAGAACGCCCCGGCUAACUACGUGCC
rnacentral:rRNA from 1 species